AUGGGGAUGGUUAGCUGCAAGGCGGAGCGGAACACAUACGUGUCCUUCACGCUCGACGACGGCACCGACUGCAUCGAUUUCAUCAGAUGGGGUUCCCAUGCUUGUUUAUUCUGGAUUUCUCUGUCAGAACUGCUUGUGUGUCCAUCUGCGACAAUGCUGCCGGUCAGUUUGUCUAUUUCUUGCCUUCCUUGCUCCCUAGUGCUGUUCAUUAUACUGUCUCUUAGGAACCUCAAUUACUUAUUUCUGUCUACUGUGAGGUAUUUGUUCAGUUUCAAUCUGAAUCGCCUAACUUGGAGUGACAAUCUGCAUUGA
rnacentral:rRNA from 1 species